rnacentral:rRNA from 1 species
AUUGAACGCUGGCGGCAGGCCUAACACAUGCAAGUCGAACGAGUGGCGGACGGGUGAGUAAUGUCUGGGAAAAUGCCUGAUGGAGGGGGAUAACUACUGGAAACGGUAGCUAAUACCGCAUACCAUCGGAGGUGCCCAGAUGGGAUGAGCUUGUUGGUGGGUGAACGGCUCACCAAGGCGACGAUCCCUAGCUGGUCUGAGAGGAGGACCAGCCACACUGGAACUGAGACACGGUCCAGACUCCUACUGGGGGCAGCAGUGGGAAAUAUUCCACAAUGGGCGCAAGCCUGAUGCAGCCAUGCCGCGUGUAUGAAGAAGGCCUUCUGUGUGUAAAGUACUUUCAGCGGGGAGGCGUUACCCGCAGAAGAAGCACCGGCUAACUCCGUGCCAGCAGCCGCGGUAAUAC